GGGUUGUGAGGUUAAGCGACUAAGCGUACACGGUGGAUGCCCUGGCAGUCAGAGGCGAUGAAGGGCGUGCUAAUCUGCGAUAAGCGCCGGUAAGGUGAUAUGAACCGUUAUAACCGGCGAUACCCGAAUGGGGAAACCCAGUGUGACUCGUCACACUAUCAUUAACUGAAUCCAUAGGUUAAUGAGGCGAACCGGGGGAACUGAAACAUCUAAGUACCCCGAGGAAAAGAAAUCAACCGAGAUUCCCCCAGUAGCGGCGAGCGAACGGGGAGGAGCCCAGAGCCUGAAUCAGCAUGUGUGUUAGUGGAAGCGUCUGGAAAGGCGCGCGAUACAGGGUGACAGCCCCGUACACAAAAGCGCAUGUGCUGUGAGCUCGAUGAGUAGGGCGGGACACGUGGUAUCCUGUCUGAAUAUGGGGGGACCAUCCUCCAAGGCUAAAUACUCCUGACUGACCGAUAGUGAACCAGUACCGUGAGGGAAAGGCGAAAAGAACCCCGGCGAGGGGAGUGAAAAAGAACCUGAAACCGUGUACGUACAAGCAGUGGGAGCCCCACCACCAAAGCAUUCUCUGGUGUUGAAGGCCCUGCAAAGCAGCAUCGCGGUGGCGGAGCGUCGUUUGCGACGCCCAACACACAAAACAAGCGGUGAGUGCUUUGGGGUGGGGUGACUGCGUACCUUUUGUAUAAUGGGUCAGCGACUUAUAUUCUGUAGCAAGGUUAACCGAAUAGGGGAGCCGGAGGGAAACCGAGUCUUAAUUGGGCGUUAAGUUGCAGGGUAUAGACCCGAAACCCGGUGAUCUAGCCAUGGGCAGGUUGAAGGUUGGGUAACACUAACUGGAGGACCGAACCGACUAAUGUUGAAAAAUUAGCGGAUGACCUGUGGCUGGGGGUGAAAGGCCAAUCAAACCGGGAGAUAGCUGGUUCUCCCCGAAAGCUAUUUAGGUAGCGCCUCGUGAACUCAUCUCCGGGGGUAGAGCACUGUUUCGGCUAGGGGGCCAUCCCGGCUUACCAACCCGAUGCAAACUGCGAAUACCGGAGAAUGUUAUCACGGGAGACACACGGCGGGUGCUAACGUCCGUCGUGAAGAGGGAAACAACCCAGACCGCCAGCUAAGGUCCCAAAGUCAUGGUUAAGUGGGAAACGAUGUGGGAAGGCCCAGACAGCCAGGAUGUUGGCUUAGAAGCAGCCAUCAUUUAAAGAAAGCGUAAUAGCUCACUGGUCGAGUCGGCCUGCGCGGAAGAUGUAACGGGGCUAAACCAUGCACCGAAGCUGCGGCAGCGACACUGUGUGUUGUUGGGUAGGGGAGCGUUCUGUAAGCCUGUGAAGGUGGCCUGUGAGGGUUGCUGGAGGUAUCAGAAGUGCGAAUGCUGACAUAAGUAACGAUAAAGCGGGUGAAAAGCCCGCUCGCCGGAAGACCAAGGGUUCCUGUCCAACGUUAAUCGGGGCAGGGUGAGUCGACCCCUAAGGCGAGGCCGAAAGGCGUAGUCGAUGGGAAACGGGUUAAUAUUCCCGUACUUGGUGUUACUGCGAAGGGGGGACGGAGAAGGCUAUGUUGGCCGGGCGACGGUUGUCCCGGUUUAAGCGUGUAGGCUGGUUUUCCAGGCAAAUCCGGAAAAUCAAGGCUGAGGCGUGACGACGAGGCACUACGGUGCUGAAGCAACAAAUGCCCUGCUUCCAGGAAAAGCCUCUAAGCAUCAGGUAACAUCAAAUCGUACCCCAAACCGACACAGGUGGUCAGGUAGAGAAUACCAAGGCGCUUGAGAGAACUCGGGUGAAGGAACUAGGCAAAAUGGUGCCGUAACUUCGGGAGAAGGCACGCUGACAUGUAGGUGAAGUGAUUUACUCAUGGAGCUGAAGUCAGUCGAAGAUACCAGCUGGCUGCAACUGUUUAUUAAAAACACAGCACUGUGCAAACACGAAAGUGGACGUAUACGGUGUGACGCCUGCCCGGUGCCGGAAGGUUAAUUGAUGGGGUCAGCGCAAGCGAAGCUCCUGAUCGAAGCCCCGGUAAACGGCGGCCGUAACUAUAACGGUCCUAAGGUAGCGAAAUUCCUUGUCGGGUAAGUUCCGACCUGCACGAAUGGCGUAAUGAUGGCCAGGCUGUCUCCACCCGAGACUCAGUGAAAUUGAACUCGCUGUGAAGAUGCAGUGUACCCGCGGCAAGACGGAAAGACCCCGUGAACCUUUACUAUAGCUUGACACUGAACAUUGAGCCUUGAUGUGUAGGAUAGGUGGGAGGCUUUGAAGCGUGGACGCCAGUCUGCGUGGAGCCGACCUUGAAAUACCACCCUUUAAUGUUUGAUGUUCUAACGUGGACCCGUAAUCCGGGUUGCGGACAGUGUCUGGUGGGUAGUUUGACUGGGGCGGUCUCCUCCUAAAGAGUAACGGAGGAGCACGAAGGUUGGCUAAUCCUGGUCGGACAUCAGGAGGUUAGUGCAAUGGCAUAAGCCAGCUUGACUGCGAGCGUGACGGCGCGAGCAGGUGCGAAAGCAGGUCAUAGUGAUCCGGUGGUUCUGAAUGGAAGGGCCAUCGCUCAACGGAUAAAAGGUACUCCGGGGAUAACAGGCUGAUACCGCCCAAGAGUUCAUAUCGACGGCGGUGUUUGGCACCUCGAUGUCGGCUCAUCACAUCCUGGGGCUGAAGUAGGUCCCAAGGGUAUGGCUGUUCGCCAUUUAAAGUGGUACGCGAGCUGGGUUUAGAACGUCGUGAGACAGUUCGGUCCCUAUCUGCCGUGGGCGCUGGAGAACUGAGGGGGGCUGCUCCUAGUACGAGAGGACCGGAGUGGACGCAUCACUGGUGUUCGGGUUGUCAUGCCAAUGGCACUGCCCGGUAGCUAAAUGCGGAAGAGAUAAGUGCUGAAAGCAUCUAAGCACGAAACUUGCCCCGAGAUGAGUUCUCCCUGAGACUUAAAGUCUCCUGAAGGAACGUUGAAGACGACGACGUUGAUAGGCCGGGUGUGUAAGCGCAGCGAUGCGUUGAGCUAACCGGUACUAAUGAACCGUGAGGCUUAACCUUACAACGCCGAAG
rnacentral:rRNA from 1 species